GUCCUUUUGUUUAUUUAUUUAAGGUCUGACCUGCCCAAUGAGGAAUUCAAUGGCCGCAGUAUUUUAACUGUGCUAAGGUAGCAUAAUCAUUUGUCUUUUAAUUGAGGGCUGGAAUGAAAGGUUGGACGAGAUAUUAACUUUCUUUAGUUUAAUUUUAAGAAUUUAAUUUUUGAGUUAAAAAGCUUAAAUUUAUUUGUUGGACGAGAAGACCCUAUAGAUCUUUAUAAUUUUAUAUUUUGAUAAUUUGGUGAUUAUAUUUAUUGUAAGUAGAAGAAUUAUUUUGUUGGGGUGACUGUAGAAUUUUAUUAACUUCUAUUAUUUUUAUUUCAUUGAUUGGUGUUUUUUUGAUCCAUAUAUUUAUGAUUAAAAGAUUAAG
rnacentral:rRNA from 1 species